rnacentral:rRNA from 1 species
GUGGGGAAUUUUGGACAAUGGGCGCAAGCCUGAUCCAGCCAUGCCGCGUGCAGGAUGAAGGCCUUCGGGUUGUAAACUGCUUUUGUACGGAACGAAAAGACUCCUUCUAAUAAAGGGGGUCCAUGACGGUACCGUAAGAAUAAGCACCGGCUAACUACGUGCCAGCAGCCGCGGUAAUACGUAGGGUGCAAGCGUUAAUCGGAAUUACUGGGCGUAAAGCGUGCGCAGGCGGUUAUAUAAGACAGAUGUGAAAUCCCCGGGCUCAACCUGGGAACUGCAUUUGUGACUGUAUAGCUAGAGUACGGUAGAGGGGGAUGGAAUUCCGCGUGUAGCAGUGAAAUGCGUAGAUAUGCGGAGGAACACCGAUGGCGAAGGCAAUCCCCUGGACCUGUACUGACGCUCAUGCACGAAAGCGUGGGGAGCAAACAGGAUUAGAUACCCUUGUAGUCC